rnacentral:rRNA from 1 species
UUGGAACAGGAGGUCAUGGAGGGUGAGAACCCCGUACGUGGCUUGGGUGCCGUCUGUCCGUGUGACGUAUCCUCUAAGAGUCGGGUUGUUUGGGAAUGCAGCUCAAAAUGGGUGGUAAACUUCAUCUAAAGCUAAAUAUUGGUGAGAGACCGAUAGCAAACAAGUAGAGUGAUCGAAAGAUGAAAAGUACUUUGAAAAGAGAGUGAAACAGUACGUGAAAUUGUUGAAAGGGAAGCGUUUGGCAUCAGCCCAUGGCGGCGGUCGAACAUCUGGGCUUCUUUUUUUGUGCACUCGGCAGUCGCCGGGCCAGCGUCGGUUGCACCUGCUGGAGAAAGGCCUUGGGGAAGUGGCACUCCCUUGUGGAGUGUGUUAUAACCCAUGGCGUCAUGCGGCUUGGUGGGACCGAGGUCCGCGGUUUUGUCCUAGGACGCUGGCGUAAUGGUUCCAAGCGACCCGUCUUGAAACACGGACCAAGGAGUCUAACAUCUAUGCGAGUGUUU